GACGAACGCUGGCGGCGUGCUUAACACAUGCAAGUCGAACGGAAAGGCCCUGCUUUUGUUGGGUGCUCGAUUGGCGAACGGGUGAGUAACACGUGAGUAUCCUGCCCUUGACUUUGGGAUAACUUCUGGAAACUGGGGCUAAUACCGGAUAUGAGCUCCUGCUGCACGGUGGUGGUUGGAAAGUGUCGGCGGUUGUGGAUGGACUCGCGGCUUAUCAGCUGGUUGGUGUGGUAGGGGCUUACCAAGGCUUUGACGGGUAGCCUGCCUGAGAGGGUGACCGGCGACAUUGGGACUGAGAUACGGACCAGAAUCCAACGGGAGGCAGCAGUGGGGAAUAUGGCACAGUGGGCGGAAGCGUGAGGCAGCAACGCCGCGUGCGGGAUGCCGGCCUUCGGGUUGUGAACAGAUUUGGCAUGUGACGAAGAGUGAGUGACGGUAAUGGGUAAAGAAGCACCGGCUAACUACGUG
rnacentral:rRNA from 1 species